GAAACCGAUCAAACCACUCACAGAGCACCUGCGGGCCCCCUGCGGGCCCGCCGUAGUGAACCAGGAGCCCGGCCGCGUCGGCGCGUGCCCGCAACCCCCGGCAUCCGGGGGCCGGCCGCGUCUGGCGCGCUGGGCCCUGUCCAACGCAACAAACCCUCUGCCCUGAAGCAGCUUCGCAAGGGGACACCCCGCGCGACGUUAACUGAGACAACUCUCAACAACGGAUAUCUUGGCUCUCGCAACGAUGAAGAACGCAGCGAAAUGCGAUACGUAGUGUGAAUUGCAGAAUUCCGUGAGUCAUCGAAUCUUUGAACGCACAUUGCCGGUCGACUCUCCGGAGGAGACCACAUCUGCCUCAGCGUCGGAAUACCCCCUCACGCGGCCGCGUCUCUGGACGCGGCGCGUGGAGCUGGCCCCCCCGGCCUGCGUCUCUCGACGCGGGCCGGGCCGGCUGAAAUGCAGAGGCUCGUCCGCGGCCCACUCAGUGGCCCCGACUAGGUAGGUAGCUCGCUACUGCUAGGCGGCGGCCCGGUGCUGCGGGCUCUGGGCCCAAAGGAUACCCCCAU
rnacentral:rRNA from 1 species